rnacentral:rRNA from 1 species
GAGUUUGAUCCUGGCUCAGAACGUACGCUGGCGGCACGCCUAACACAUGCAAGUCGAGCGGGGUAGCAAUACCUAGCGGCAGACGGGUGCGUAACAUGUGGGAAUCUGCCUUUUGGUUCGGAACAACAUGGGGAAACCUGUGCUAAUACCGGAUAAGUCCUAACGGAGAAAGUUUUAAUGCCAAAAGAUGAGCCCGCAUUUGAUUAGCUUGUUGGUGAGGUAAAAGCUCACCAAGGCUAUAAUCAAUAGCUGAUUUGAGAGGAUGAUCAGCCACACUGGGACUGAGAUACGGCCCAGACUCCUACGGGAGGCAGCAGUGGGGAAUCUUGCACAAUGGGCGAAAGCCUGAUGCAGCGAUGCCGCGUGAGUGAAGAAGGCCUUUGGCGUUGUAAAG